UUCUAAAUCCUACCAUUUCUCAAACCCUGCGAUUCUUUGAACAAACCCUAAAAAAAUGCAACGUUCUCUCUCCCGGCGCUUCGAGGUCCCAGUUCCGGAGUCAUGGAAGCUAUGCUCCAAGCUUCUUCCGCUCGAACAACCACCGUUCCGGCGGAGACAGUGCGUCCGGCUUGGGUUCCCGCUCCAACGACCACAGUUCCGGCGGAGACAGUGCGUCCGGCUUGGGUUCCAAUGAUGUGCGUUCUAUCGCCGAACAUGGCUUCUUGAGUUCAACUGAAUUGCGCUCGCAUCCUGGCGGCGAUGCGUCGGUCUUGGGAUCCACUGACAUGGCUUCUAUCGCCGGCGAACAUGGCUUCUUGAGUUCAACUGAAUAGCGCUCGCGUCCUGGCGGCGAUGCGUCGGUCUUGGGGUCUAAUGACAUGCUUCUAUCGCCGGCGAACAUGGCUUCUUGAGUUCAACUGAAUUGCGCUCGCGACCUGGUGGCGAUGCGAAGAUCUUCUCCCGCAGCGGCAAUGCAUUUAGGUUCCGAAACCUGCAACCAGGUUUUUCUUCUCAUUCUUCACACAGAAGUAGAACUAAUUCACAUGUCCCCUGUUAGAUUGAAUGUACGUGGAAGUUUCAACUACCCAGCGAAAAAAUGCUGUCUCUAUAUUAGCCACAAGACACUUACAGUUAGAGGUGUCAAAUAAGUCCAAUUUUUCAAAACCCCAAUUUUUUGGCCCCACUAAAACCCCACUUUAUUAAGCCUCCUCUGAAUGAGAAAUGAGAAAUUUUUCAGGCCCUAUAAUUUUAGGCUCUUAGUUAAUAUGUUAUUUUUGAGCCCUAUUGAAGGGGCCAUAUUUUGUUUCAAAAUUUUCAUCUUUGCUCUUACUUUACACUAAGAGUCUGUUUGAUUUAGUUCUUGAAAACUUUUUUUUUAGUUUUUAAAAAUUUGAAAAUCAAAGACUUGAUUAAUCAGUUUUAAAAAUAUAAUUUUGGAAACAGUUUUUAGAAAACUAGCUUUGAGAACUAGAAAACCGAAAGUGGUUUCAGCUAAUUUGCUUUUCUAUUUCAAAACUUGAAAAACACAGAGAACAUGUAAUAACAAGAUACACUUAAUAAUAUUUGCAUUCUUUGAAAGACAAUACAACAAGAUACACCUAUAUACAUUCACAUGACAUGAUACCAUGAAUCUAAAGAAACAAAAUUAUAUUAUUAAAAAAAUAAACAAAUAUUUACAAUGAGUAGUAUUAAAAAGACACUUAACAAAUUAUUAUUUGUUUGUCUUUUUAAAAAUGUGUCAUAUAUUUGUCAUUGGUAUAUAAAAAACAUGGGUCAAUUAUUUGUUAUUGAUUAAUAUAUAAAGAAUAUGAUACAAAUAAUUUCUCAUCAAUUAAUAAAAUAAAUAAGAGACAAAAAUUAUCUUUAAUACAUAAAUAAUGACAUGACAUAUAUGUUUUAGAUAAUAUAAAAAAAUGAAUUUUAUACAUAUCGUUAACACAUAAAAAUAUAUUUUAUUUAUAUAUAAAAAAAUAUUUCUAAAAAAUAUAUCAUAGUAGUUUUCCUUUUUUUGCUUUUUUCAAUCUAAUAUCAUAAAAUGUAUUCUAAAAACAGAUUAUCAAAAAUAAUUUUGUUAUUUAAAAAAUUGGUUUUAGAAAUUAUAUUAUCAAACAAGUUUUGUUAUUUGGGGCCCAAGGCCCCCUUCUAAAUUUUAGGGCCUUAUACUUAUGGGGCCUAUAUGUUUAGGGGCUCAUUAUUCUUAGAUAUUUUUAGACCCCUCAUUAAGUGGGCUAGAGCUCAAAUUUUUUGGCCCCUAAAUUUGACACCUCUACUUACAGUUCAUGGGAUGGUCUAUUUCAUAUGAUGAUCUCGGAGUUCUCUACACACCUCCUCUGACUCUGUUGAUGGUCAGAGAAUCAGGUCUCUGGUUGAUGCUUGUCUCUAUGAACUAUGCAGGGAAGGAAGGGAAGUGGUACCAAAGGGGAAGCGACUGCCCCUUGGCCAACCCUUGCAAAUUGAUGAAGGAAACAUGAGGCAGAGGGAACAAGAGAGGAAGGGACUGGGAAUAGGCAAACCGGUGCAAACGUGAUGGUACUUGAACAAAAGGGUAGGAUUAUGGGAGGAAUCACUACGAAAAAAUGCGGCGUGGGCAAGGGCAAACCCAUGAAAUUUUUUGAAGGUGAGCGGGAAAGAAUUGGCAAUAUGAAGGGAAUAAGCGACGAUACUGAGGAUACUCGCGAUACUGAGGAUACUCGCGUCACUGAGGAUUCUUUCAUAACCUCAGCAGCUCUUACAAGAUUUUCAUCUGGUUGAGAUUUGAGAUGUUGAGAUUUGAGGGCAUUCUUACGACCUCUCAAUAAUUCUCAUGUCAAAUUAUUACACAGAUUCUUAGACCUCCCACUUGAUCUCAUUAAAAGUUUAAAAAUCUUUUUGCAAUUUAUGUUACAACAAUUAGUCUCGUUGGAGAAACAGAACAUAUGUGAGUUACUUCACUGUCUAUCUUAGAGGAUUGGGUGUCGCAAGUGUCCUCAGGUGAGUUACAUAAAUCACACUAUGUAACUCACCUACUGAGGAUACUUGCGACACUGUCGACACCUAAUUCUCUGAGAUAGACAGUGAUAUUUGUAGUUGUCUAUCUUAGAGGAUUGGGUGUCGACAGUGUCGCAAAUGUCCUCAGGUGAGUUACAUAAAUCACACUAUGUAACUCACCUAAUGAGGAUACUUGCGACACUGUCGACACCCAAUUCUCUGAGAUAGACAGUGAUUUGUAGUUUGCGACACUGUCGACACCCAAUUCUCUGAGAUAGACAGUGAUGUGUAGUGUGAUUUAUGUAACUCACCCAUGUUCUCCUUCUCUAAGGAGACUAAUUGCUGUAACAUAAAUUGCAAAAAAAUUCUUAAACUUUUAAUGAGAUCAUGUGGGAGGUCUAAGAAUCUGUGUAAUAAUUUGACAUGAGAAUUAUUGAGAGGUCGUAAGAAUGCUCUCAAAUCUCAACAAGAUGAAAAUCUUAAAUCUCAACAAGAUGAAAAUCUUGUAAGAGUUGCUGAGGUUAUGAAAGAAUCGUCAGUACCGCGAGUAUCCUCAGUGUCUUCAGUAUCGCGAGUAUCCUCAGUGUCGUUGCUUAUUCCCUUCAUUCUGCCAAUUCUGGUGUUCAACUCUAAACCCGUGUCUGGUUUCUUUACGUGUGUGGUUCUGAAAGAAGACAUGAUAGCAUCAGUUGCGACUUUCCGCAUACAUGGAGAGGGCAAAGUUAGUUUUACCGAAAUAUCCUAUGUCGUAACUCUGCAAGUUUUUCGCCAUCAAGGCGUUUGUUUUCCGUUGAGAAAUGGCAUGUACCGUGCACUUUAUAUAUCUGCAGAGGAAGCUGUUCUUUUGAACUCUAGGUAGAAUGCACCUUACCUGAUCACUGCUGAGGUCUUGAGAUGUGAAAUGCCCAGGUAUUCAAACAACAGUUCCUUUAUUCUUAUUUAAUGUAGUUGAAUAUGUAUAACUACAACUAGCUCUUAAACCAGUCACCAUGUUCAUUGACAGAUAUUGUCUUUCAAACAUUGACACGAUGGUAUGGCAUAUAAACAUAUGAUAAGUAUGAAUUAAGAUUAUAUCAGAUAAUGUUUUCACUUAUGCUUAUGUUUUGCAUAUCCCCAGCUCAUUUUACUAUUUAGUUUUUGCUAGCAUUUCAAAUUUCAAAUAUGGUAGGCCGCUGAAGCAAAAGGGGAAGCACCUUUUGGUCUCCCAUUGAAAGGGGUUGGUCAAGAUUCUUCAGAUGCGCAACCAAGAGCAAACAGAAUUACUCCUAAAGCCAGCUAUGCCUUGUCUGGUGAACUUUGGGAGGUAAAGAAAGAGAGAAUGAAGAAGACUGACAUGGAAAAUUAUCUUGUGAACUUUGGCAAGUAAGCCUCGUAAUGGGACAUUCUUGUUAUCGCUGGUGCUACCUUAUUCAUUACUGUCAGUGAGGAAUUUUUAGUAAAAAUUGUUGAUACAGAAGAGGUCAUGGCAAUGUUAGGUCUCUUUGGCGGCAUCAUCAGCGCCAUUCAAACAACUGUACUUGAGCGCAACAAACUUGAAUCUAUUCGUUGGUAGGCUGGGGCAGCACUUCCGUUUUUUGGAUUUUCAGUGGCUAUCUUUUUGUUUUACUCUCUAAUCCCCGUUCUCCUUAAGAUCAAUGGUUCUACCAUGCUAAAUCUGUCUCUUCUAACAUCAGACAUGUGGUCUGUCUUAAUUCACAUCUUCGCUUACCAUGAGAAAUCUGACAGGAACCUCCACUGAAUAAUUCCUACUAAUUAUGAGUCACAAAGAGGAUGUCUUCUGAAACUGGUGUAGAGGAAAUCACUGCAGCUGAUUUCAUCACCCCAAGUAGUCUGCCACUAUGAUUUUGUUGAAUACCGACUCAUUUUAUUUUUCUCCUCCAAUGCUGAAUUGAAAUGAGUGAUAUGGCCUAAUUGACUUAUACUUGAUAAACAUAAGGUAAUUUACAUAUGAUGUCAAACUCCAUGCAAUUAUAAAGCGUUUGAUAGUUCUUAUGGAUAGUUGCAUUCUAACUACACCAUGUUGGCCUAAGACCAAUACACUUCAAUUUGUACACAUCAUGUUUUAUUUUCUGGUACCGUUACUGUUAAUUAGCUGAAUUUUAAUAAAAUAAUAAUAAUCUUGUAUUUUUAUUCUUAUAUUAUGCCAAGUAUUGUCAAUAUUUGGACUGUUUGAUUAAUUUGAUAUUGAAUGAUUGUUUUUUUUACAAGAGUUUCUUCAAGGUCUAUUUAGUUAUAUAAGAGAAUCAAACAAAACAUGACUUUUCAAUAUACUCUUUUAGCAUUUUUAACUUCAAAAUCAAACUAGAAUGGAAAUACAAAAAUCAACUCACUGUAAAAUAUGUUACUAUUAUUAAAUAAAAAAUCUUUAUUAUAAUUAAUAAAAACAUUUUUCGUGUAAUUUAUUGAGCACAGUCCGAUUAAAAGCUCUAUUGAUUUGAGUUCAGCUUAAUUUAAAAUCUCUCUAGGUGUUUUUAAUUCAGCUCAAUAUAAAAAUUCAGUAGGUUCUAGAUCAAUCCGGCAAAAAUUUUGGUUUGAUUCGUUUUGUGAUCAACCUGUUGAUUUGGUUGGAGGGUAGCCAAUUCAAAACUCCAUUUUGCUUCUAGAUCAACCUGUGUAAAAUUUCUCUUUGGUGCGAAGACUAAUUGCUUCAUGUCAUGUUUGUUGUUUGGUUUGAAGACUAAUCGACCUCAAGUCCUGUUUGUUGUUUGAUUAAAAGUUAGUCUGAAACUUUAUUUUCCUGUAUAAGGUCUGUCAGCAUAACCUUCUAAAAGCUCUCAAGAAUAGUGAAUAUUCUCAAGAUCAAUUUUCGUAGAGAGUAGGUCAUUCAUUAGACAGAAUCUCUAUAAUUCUUCGGUGUCAUUUAUUUUUUCCUUAUAUUUUAAUUUUUCACUUAACUUCUUUACUUUGAAUUUCUUAUUAAUAAAAUAUUUUCAAAUAUUAAUUUUGAAAAUUAUUGUUUUAAAUCAAUAAUUUUCAAACUAUCAUAAUUCAUCCCCUUUUAUAUACGA